rnacentral:sRNA from 1 species
CCAGCGGACGAGCAAGCCGUGAGUCGCAGGCGUCCAAGCUCUAAAGCCCCAUACCGACGUCAAGUGUAAACGAUAUUCGCAAACGUGGAUCAGUUGACAUUUGACAGCGCGCGUGCUUGCACGUUCCUCAGGGGCUAAACGGCCUACAGCUCUGGCGGCAUUAAAGUUCGACAGCUUUACGUUUGGAGAAACGUGGAGAAACGCUGGCAAACAUAAAUCGUGGUUUUGCUUCAACGCGCACACAGCCACAACAACAACCAUAAUAAUAAUAAUAAUGACAUUGUGAUGUUCAAGGCUUUAAUGUGAUUUAAAAAUAUGACAACCGCAGCAUCAGCAGUAGCGGCAG